UUAGCCCAAGUCCUCCUGCUGUUGGGGCAUCCUGCCGGACAAGGCAAAACAUGCCCUCAAGGAAAAGAUCCUAGCCUGUUUCUCUCCUGUGGACUCCUACCUGCAUCUCGAGCUUCAUCCUCCUUGUCAGCUUGAGACAGGCCAGUACCUGGAACCUGGGACCUGGGACCCUUUGCUGCAGUGCUUGCACCUGGACAGACAACUCCUAGAGCAACAAAAUACAAAGAAACUGUAUGGGACUAAAAAUAAAUGUGUGCAUGCACAGUUGGGGCAAAUUAGGGGCAUGAAGAUACCAAAAAAAAAGGAGUUCCCAUCAUGGCUCAGUGGUUAACGAAUCUGAUUAGCACCCAUGAGGACGUAGGUUCGAUCCCUGGCUCACUUGGUUAAGGAUCUGGUGUUGCCGUGAGCUGUGGUGUAGGUCGCAGACACUGCUCGGAUCCUGCAUUGCUGUGGCGUAGGCCAGCAGCCGCAACUCCAUCUUGACCUCUAGCCUGGGAGCCUUCAUAUGGCACAGCUGCGGCCCUAUAAAGCAAAAAAAGAAAAACAAAAAGCAAAAAAACCAAUAGCCACAUCUGAAGAGCAAAGCUAGGUGUUAGGAGAAAAUCACGGUACUAUGCAUACCUCCCUGCACGCAGAACCACCAAAGGGGUGGGCAGAUCACCUAUGCUAUCGCUCUGACCAGACCCCUGGACCUGCCCCUACCCUCACCCUAUGUAAGGAACCAGCUUGCCCCCUCUCAGUGAGCAAGCAAGGGAAACUGUUGCUUGUUUUUCUCCCCCCACUGCAGCAGGGGCCCCAAUAAAGCUUUGCCUAAAUUUCUUGCCUGGCCUCUUAUUAAUUUCUAUGAUUAAAGAAGCCAAGAACUCUGUUGGGUAGCAAGUUCACCUUUUUCAGUGAUUCCUCCUGGUAGAAAAGACCACUUCUGUCCUUUCUGUGGAUUCAAGCUUCCACCAGCUGGUGAGCAGAGUGGGUCCAGGCUUCCUCCCAUCCCAGCGGGCUGUGUCUCUGCCUGUCUUUCUUGCUGGAGCAUCUCCUCUAAGACUACAACAAAGUCACCUUCCCCAGCAGUCCCUUCACCCCAGCUCCGCCAUGAACACUUUUGUAUAUCUUCUUCCAGAGGCAAACACUUUAACAUAACUGCAAUAUGGUACAUAGCUGUUUGUACCAAGCUGUUAGGUUUUUGUAGGUUAUAACUGCUCCAAGGUUAGAAUGUCAUAUAGUUAGUUCUGUUACUGAAUUGGGUCCUGCCACUCACCACUCAAAAAUCAAUACAAGACUGAAAGAGCUGGGGGAGGGGGAGUCGUAGAAAGGAAAGAAAAGUUGCUUUUAAUCAGGAUGCCGCAGUCUGAUUAAAAGCCAUCUCCAAAGGUUCUGCUCUGUCAUGGAAACUUUUAAAGGGGAAAAGGGAAGUGAUCUCAGUUCUUCAUUUAGAUUGGGGGUCAUUGCCCCAGAGUCAUUGCCAUCCCCCAACUUCUCGUGAUUUUUCUUUAGAUGCUAUAUUAUUUAUACAGUUUGUUUGUGAGAUUACUGAAGGGAAAGCUGGGCAAGAGAUCUGGUCACCUAUUCGUUACUUAUUUUUCAUGUCUUCUUUGAUCUACAGAAAGGAUCGCCAGAUUAGGCAAGGUAUUGUGUGUUCAAAAGAUUUGAAAGGUGUUCUUGGGCCAGAGAUGAGUAGAGCAUGGAGGUGCCUGGGUUAAGGUUAGUGACAAGAAAAAGGGAGACACACACCUCAGCCCCCACCACCACCACCACCCUGCUGCCAGAGAGGGCAGUUUCCUGCAGUUUUCACUUCCCCCAUGCAACCAUUUUAAUUCUUUGGCUGUCUUUAUACUGCCAUUUCUUAAUAUUUUAAUAGCUCAGAAAUGAUUGCCAUUUGCAAUUUUAAAAAUCAAGCAUUCACUAUCAGCCUUCCCACACCACUCCCACCUUUUCCCUCCCACGCUCAUAUUCCCUUCCACUCCAUUUAGUUACAUAAUAAUUUUUAGGUUUAGCAUUUUCAUUAGGACCCUGCAAAUAGCAGCUUAGCUAUUUAUUGAACUCUGAUUACAUUUCCUUUUUGAACAAAUUAUGUUUUCCCUGGAGUUAGUAAAUGAUUGCUGAAGGUACACCUGCCUCAACACUAUAACAGAGGUCAUCUCAUCUGUUUCAUUCUUUCUCGUGGAGACCCUCCUCCUGGACCCCCCUGCCCUCCUGCUGAGUCUCAUGGCUCCUCUUCAGCAUUUCCUAGGAGUCACUUCCCAUCUCUCUUGUUGGAUCCCUGGUUUAUGCACCCAGUGUCUUUCUCUUUCUAGAUUUAUUCCUUGGUUUUCAGAGAGUACAUUCAUCACUUUGUAAAAAAGCAUGCUUGAGAAAGGGUUUAGUUUUUUGUUUUUGUCUUGUCUUUGUUUUUUGAGAUCUUGUGUGUCUAAAAAUGUCUUGACUGCUGCAGCUAGACCUCAGGGUCCAUUCUAUCAUGGAGACGCUCCACCCACACUGGACUGCCUCGGAUUUGUGGGACAAUGAGCUGGACUCAGAGGAGGCUCAUCAAACUGGAGGAUCCCUGAGAGGCGCUGAACAUGGGGAAAGGGCCCCAUGGCUUGUGCAGUGGCCUUACUGGUGGGAAAGAAGGUAUGAGGGGAAACUACUCAGAUGAAGACAGGAGUUGUGGAGGACAUAAGGAAACUGAAAGGCUAGGGCCCAGAAGAGAUCAGUGAAGAGGAAGACCCCCAUCUGAGCCUGGUGUUGGGCACAGAAAGCAACCAAAGGCAUGAGCCCACACAUGUGAUGAAGAAUGGUGAGACAGAGCCAAAGAAGAAGAAGGGGAUCCAGGAACACAGAAGCAGAAAGUCAGGCCAAAGAAUGCAGACAACUGUCUUUAUGAACUGGCAGAAAACAUCCAUGCAUCCUCAGCAAAGAGGACUGUAGUGAUAUCUCCCAAAUAGAUGCUGCUCGGCAUCCCCAAGGUGCUCCACAUGAUGCUAAAAUAAAAAAUCUAUCCACAGAGGAUGCUGAGGCACAUCUGCUGACAGAGCAGCAGAACAAGAAAGACAGUGAGACAUCCUCGUUCACCAGUUCGUAUGAAUUAUGAGCAGCAAAACAAUCUUACCACUAGGUGCUCAGGUUCCCAGAUGGAGAACAAAGAAGAGCCAAUGCCCCACCUUUGAGAAUGGGUUUCCCCACCCCCAAACACAAGAGUUGUGCUAAGGACAAGUCCACCAACUUCUAUCAUUAUGAGAAGUUCUGAGGGUGGCUGAAGGGAAGGACAGGGUGGGAUGUGAACAGCACCUUCCUUCAAACCUCCUCAUAAGAAAAGACUUCCUGAACAUAGACUUGAUUAUUUGCUGGCAGACAGCUCCAAAACCGGAUUCUACUAGUCCUGUUAUUUACCUGCUGCAUUUCUCAAGCGCUAACUUUGGAAACUUUUGAAAUGAAACAAUAUGCAGUUUUCCUAUUUAAAAGCAAAGUCUUUUCUUGUGAACAUUAUUAAAUCUUAUUUGUUUUUUUUUAAGUGCUUAUUCUGCAUACUUAUUUGAUAGUUUUGCUGGGUAUGGAAUCCUACAUUGAAAAUUAUUUUCUCUCCAACUUUUGAAGGCACCACUCCUGUAUGGAUGGGAGAAGUUGGAUACUAUUUACCUUUGAAAGAUUUUAGGAUGUAUUCUUUGCUCCAGUAUUCUGAAAUUUGUCUGUGAUGUGCCUUGGUGAAGUAGUUUUUGUUUUGUUUUGUUUUGUUGUUUUUUACCCACUUAACUGGGCAUUAGGAGGCUAUGCUAAUUUCAAAAGUUCUAGGAAGUUUUAUUGAAAUAUUUUGCAUAAUUUUCUCCUCUAUCUUUUCUCUGUAACCCUUUCCCCACCCCCCACCUCCCAGGAACUUCUUAGUACUUGGAUGUGGAUCUCAAGAUUAAUCCUUUACCUUUCUUAGCUUUUCCUAUUUUUGAAAUUUCUAUGCAACUUUAUUCUCUAUGUCAGAUUAAACCAAAUCAGUUAAAGAAUUUGAAUGUUUUUUUAAUUAAAGUGUAGCAUACAACUGUAAGUAUAUACCUUGAUGAGUUACCUCCAAGUGAUCAAAUCUCAUCUCCAUCACCCAUAUCAAGAAAUAAAACCACAUCCCUACCCAGGAAGUCUCCACGAGUCCCCAUCUCCCAAGCACUUCUCUUCCCUCCCCUCCGAAGUUAGCAAAAAUACUGACUACUAACACCAGAACUCAAUUUUGUCUACUUUUGAACUUUGUAUAAAUACCAUUACAUUGUAUGAAGAGUUUUGCUUCUGACUUCUUUCUCUUAACAUUAAGAUUGUGAAAUGCUUCCAAAUUAUUGCAUAUAGUGUCCAAUGUUUGUUUAUUCUAAUCACCUUGGAGUAUUUUGUUACAUCCAUCUAUUCUGUUGAAAGAAUAGGUUAUUUAUUCUCUUGACAAAUAUUUAGGUUAUUUUUAGUUUGAGGCCAUUAUUAAUAGCAUUGCUAUGAUGAUUUGUGUACAUGUCUUACACACACACACACACACACACACACACACACACCUGCUAUCCUAAGUCAUGAGUUUAUCACAUAUUAGUAGAUAAUACUAAACCAUUCUCCAAAGGUUUGUAUUAGCCAAGCAUCCCACUGACAGUGGAUGAGAGUUGCCCCAUGUCUUUGCUAAUAAUUGUAUUGUCUGUGUUUUCUAUUUUAAAAUGUCUAAAUGGCAGUGGUUAGAGGUAUCUUACUAUGGUUUUAAUUUGCACCUUCCUCAUUGCUAAUGAGGUUGAGCACCUUGUCAUCUAUUUAUUAGCCAUUUGGAAGUCUCUUAUGAAAUGCCUGUUGAAGUCUCUUGCCUAUUUUUCCACUGUCUUUUACUUAAUGACUUAAUAUCUUCAAAAUAGGAGCCCUUUGUUGUUAUAUGGGCUAUGGUUGUAUUUAUCACUCUAUGGCUGGCCUUUUCAUGUUUGAAAUUGUGUCUUUAAUAAAUUAAAGUUCUUAAUUU
rnacentral:lncRNA from 1 species